AGAUCAACGGCUGGGAAGAUGGGGUCUAUUGAGUAUUAAAGUGUCGGAUUACCCCCUCCCUCACCCCCACCCUCGUAUCUUCGUCCCCAAAUAGCCUGUAACCCCAUCGCCAGAAAUCAUCCAUGGCGGCGGCCCAUCUCAAUUUGACCCUAAAAUAACACCCUGAACUCCCUUUCUCCUCCUCUAUCAAAAUCCACCAUCCUUUUCCUUAGAAUCUUACCUGAACGCGUCGAAUAUCGGAUCACAAAUUCUCCAGCCAAGAUGCUACCUCGCCCAAAUCGGUCCAAAUUAAUACCCUGGGUCCAUUUCCCCUUCCCCUAUUAAAAUUCCCAUCCAGUUUAUCUCGGAUCUGCAUGGAACUGUUCGAAUUUCAAUUUGAAUAUUUUCUGACCAAAACCCUAAUUGCCCCAAACUUCACCAAUUUGAUACCAAAUGACCCCCUAACCUUCCUCGUAGUGAAUGCGACAUCCGUAGAGCAUAUUUUUUACCAUAGGUGGCCGGAUUCGAAUUUCGAGAAUUAACCGGAGUCUUGAAGUGGAGUCAGUAAGUUUUACGAGUUUCUUUUCUUUUUAUUUUUCUUGGUGUUCAUUUACCUUUCAUGCCUGUUUAGUUUCUUAAUUUGUUUGGUAAUAAUUGUUAGUCCGAAAAUUAAUAAUUUUUCUUCAAUUCUGUGAAUCCUUAUUGGCCUACUUUUUAGGUUAAGUGGUUAUUUGUUUAUGCUAAUAGUUUGGAUUUAUUUCAAUCUUUUUUAUUAAAUAAUAACUUGUAGUAUUAGGUUUCAAUUAUGAUUUUGAUUAGUUAACAAUUGUUUGAAUGUCAUUUGGUUAUCAAUACUGAUUAGUUUAGCUUAUGGUCAUUCUUGUUGAUUGUUGUUGUUAAUUUGGUUCAGUGAAUAGGUUAGAUAAUAAUUUGGAUUAGCAUUAUAUUUUGUAGUUGAUCAAUUCAGAGCUUAGGGAAUUGUUUGGUUAUAGCUGCUAUUUAGCUUAAACUCAGGGGUAAAAUAGGUAGUUCAAGGGUAGGGAAUUUAGAAUGAACUUCCGAGGAGCUUCUAGAUGAGGGCUUUUAGGUGAAUUGCAAAAGAUAGGUGUAGUUACUUGGAUAAUAAGUUAAUAAAUAAGGGACUAAUCUGAUAAUAAAGAAGGACUAGGAUAGAAAAGGAAAAAGUCUGAUAAGGCCUCACUUGUACUGAUAAAAGGGCAUGAUUUUUGCUUCAUUCACAAGUUUUUGAGCCAUCAAAUUCCCCCAAAUCAAGCUCUUCUCUAAUUUUUAGAUCUGAAUAUGAAAUUCAAACAUUCAAAAAUCCAAAAACAACAAAAAAUCACAAAAAUUCAUUGUUUCAUUGCCUUUUGAGAUCAUUUUCAAAUUCCUAUUUGAAUUUCUCUAUUUCUGCUCUAAUUUUGAGUUUUUAAAAAACAUCUAGAAGUAUUUGGUAACUGGUUCGAGUGACUUUGGAUUUGCUUGAGUUGGUUUUUGGGUGAGUUUUACUCCAGUGAAGUUUCAAAAGCAUUUAAGUUCAAUUUCGAAGAUAUUUGGGUGCAUUUCGAGUCAUUGUGUUGCUAUUCCAGUCAUUUGGGUCAAUUUCCUGCAUAAUUUGUAUACUGACAUAUGUUGAAUCCAUUUGAAAUUGCUUUUGGAUUGGGACUAGCUGUGAUUGUCCUUAGCUACUGCUGAUCUACUGAUCUGCUUUGUUCUCUUUGUAUUGCAUUUCUUCCAGGUACACAUUUCGAGUUGAUUUUGAUAUAUCUUUCUCCUAUUGACAACAUGAAUAGAAGCUGAAAUCAAUUCUCUGCCUUGGAUAUGUUAUUUCAUUAUGUUUAAAUAAUUUUGUUGUGAUUUUGUGGUUGAAGAUUGUAAUCACAUUUAGAGUGACUGGAUUGAAAUUGUUAUGUAAUAACUGGACUAUGAAGUUAGUUCUCAUAUUAUUUGUUAGAUGAAUAGGUUCGAUUCAGUAUAGUUCAAUUCUUGGUUAUUAGUACAUGUUAUAGUGAAACUGGGCUUUCAAAUUGUUAUAUUUGAAUUUGUUUUAGCUAGAGUAUAAUUUAGUUUGAUUAGUCCAGUUUUAAAUUUUGAGGUUAGAAAAUUGGCUGAUGUAGAAAUGAUUUCGAGCUUUCAUGUGUAAUGAUAAUGAGAGAUUGAGUUGUUAAUUGGCACUUUAGCCUCUCGUUUGUGUCAAUGCCUUAUUUCCUUAAGUAGUAAUUUCAGUAGUUCUAUAUUAGUGGUGCUAAAUUGAAUCACUUUGAGAGUAAUUAGUCUAUCAAAAUCGUGUUCCACUUAGCCUUAGUCAAUUUGAGCAAUAAAAACGGAAAUCAAUUGACCAAUAUCUUCGUUGUUUUGUGCAAAUAAAUAAUCGUUUUCCUUGUUACAAAUAGCUGGAUGCACUUUUUGAAUAACUUGAAAUAAUCUUAAUAAAUCUUUUCUCUCAUUGAAUUGAAAUUUGGUUUGGUCUCACAAUCUAAGCCUAACAGUCUACUUUCGGACAGUUUGGGCCUCAGCAUUUUUGACAGAUGGCCCAGGCAUACAAUUGGCCUACCCUUCAGGCACACUUGGGUAAUGGUUCCUUUUAUGGGCUAUGUUUAGGGCCUGAGCUGGUCAAGGGUCAGAUUCUCAUAGACCCAAAUAUAGUAAUAGUUAAACCUUACUAAUUGAUUAGGACUUUGUUUUCUUUUAUUAU
rnacentral:lncRNA from 1 species